rnacentral:tRNA from 1 species
GCCACUGUGGUCUAGCGGUUAGAACGCUGGCCUUGUAAUCCUGGGGUCUCGGGUUCGAUUCCCGGUGGUGCCC